AGUUGUCUUAUUUAUGAUAUUUGUAUAACGCGCAUAUGGAAACACCAUGCACGCGUUUGGCUAUAACACGAUGCAACGCGUGCAUAGAAACUAGGAGUUAGAAAUGUACGAAUUCGUUCAUGCGCACUAAAAUUUUAUUCCAAGUUAGACUCCGACUGUCGCAACUAGAUAUACUAUGGCACAGUCUCUCUUUGCCAUCUUUAUGUGUUGAUCACCAAGUGACGAUGUCACAUUAAUUGACUCCGACAUGAUAACCGAUGUGACGCGAUUGUAUACAGUAAUGCUAAAGCGGGGAGCACACACUUUUGCACAAGCGCAUAACCAUAAACAUAAAGAAAUUGAUUGGUCCACAAAUGUAUGCAUAAGAAAAUGAACUAAUCAAUUUCCUUAUGCUUAUUAUUAUGCGCUUAUGCAAAAGUGUGUGCUCCCCGCUUUAGACUCCGUAUGUGGGGUGACCAAUCAAGAGCCAGGAGUUUGCCGGAGCCCGAGCUGCGCGUGGCUUUUGAUUGGUCACCACAGCAUUUGCCGGAGCUUCACCGCAUAUAUGAAGCAGAGCUGUAACGACCCAACGUUAUAACCGUCUUUCGUGAUCGUACGCCAACAUGAUUGUGCACAUUACCGUUGUAUUCCGUGUAUUUCAUAUAUUUCUCGUAUAGUGAUUACGCCGUAAUAAUUCUAGUGAUCGUCAUGCUUAGAAUAUACUCUAUGUGACCGUUAUAUUGCAAUGCGUGUCUUUCUUUGUGCCAAGUAAUAGAGUUCACGAACAAAGACAUUGAUAAGAACAAAGACACUGUUUCAUUUUCAUUACCUCAGUGUGAACAUAAAAUUUCGCGAGUUCUUCGUGAUCAUUCUUUUAUGUGUAAAUUGAGUGAUGUGAUUGACUAUUAACAUUACACGAUAUCAGUCAAACAUUUUUCGCUACAUCAGUGCUGGGAUUUACUUGCACAUUUUGGUCCGAUUCUAUGGCUCACGCCUUUUAUCCCCUCGCUCGCGCGUUAGCAACGAGUCGCUUGGUACGCGUAACUAAGAAGCGCGACGCUAUGUCUCAGGAGCGUCCGUAAGAAUGCCUAAAUAUAAUAAGAUAUUUUUCUGAAAACACCGUGAAAAUUCUCGAAAUUAAAAUUUUUUCUUUAAUGUUUUAUAUUUCAUUAAUAUAAAAUAUUAUAUUUUUUUCUUUUAAAUUAUUACAUCAAUAUAAUAAAUUAUUUAAUCCGUUUAUAUAAUUUACAUAUUUUUAUGAUACUUUAUUUAAAGUUUUCUCUUAAUCCGCUUUACAAUAAUAAUUAUAACAUAGGACAAUUGCAAUAUAGUUAUAAUAUAAUUAUAAUUUUGAGACAAUAGAUUUCCACAUCACCAAUGAGGUACUAUUGUUAAUGCGUUUUUUUUAAAGUGGUUUCCCCGAUAGGCCUAUUCCACUAAAGAAGAAUAAUCCGUUCGCGUACACACACACACACACACACACACACACACACCCACCACACACACACACACACACACACACACACACACACACACAUAUAUAUAUAUAUAUAUAUAUAUAUAUAUAUAUAUAUAUAUAUGAAAAGGAAAAAUUAUAUUAAAGAUUUAAAAAAUAAAAGAACGAAAAAAGAGAACAAUCGUAUAAACAUUAAUUUGAUUGACAUCAAAGUAUACCAAACUUAUAAAAUUUAGUCUUCGAAUUUUUUUUAUGUUCGGCUCUACGUAUUUAUGUGAAUGUUCAUUUUCAAAAUUAAAAUAUACAAAAACCAAUAAACAUUGCUGUUUGAGCGAUGUAUCAUUAUUUUCGUUGAUGCGCUCUAAUUCAUCUAAUAUUCCCGUAGAUAUUUUAUCCCUUGUAAAUUCACAUAAACGGUUUAGAAAAUCAAAUUAAUGUUCAUGCGAUUCUUCUUCUUUUUCGAUCUUUUAUUUUUUCAUCUUUAAUAUAAUUUUUCUUUUUCAUAUAUAUAUGUAUGCGAACGGAUUAAUCUUCUUUAGUGGAAUAGGCCUACUAGGAAAACCACUUUAAAAAAAGGCAUUAACAAUAGUAUUUUAUUGGUGAUGUGGAAAUCUAUUGUCUCAAAAUUAUAAUUAUAUUAUAACUAUAUUGCAAUUGUCCUAUAUUAUAAUUAUUAUUGUAAAGCGGGUUAAGAGAAAACUUUAAAUAAAGUAUCAUAAAAAUGUAUCAUAAAUAUGUAAAUUAUAUAAACGGAUUAAAUAAUUUAUUAUAUUGAUGUAAUAAUUUAAAAGAAAAAAAUAUAAUAAUAUUUUAUAUUAAUGAAAUAUAAAACAUUAAAGAAAAAAUUUUAAUUUCGAGAAUUUUCACGGUGUUUUCAGAAAAAUAUUAUCUUAUUAUAUUUAGGCAUUCUUACAUACAGACGCUCCUGAGACAGCGUCGCGCUUCUUAGUUAAGCGGGGAGCACACACUUUUGCAUAAGCGCAUAACCAUAAACAUAAAGAAAUUGAUUGGUUCACAAAUGUAUGCAUAAGAAAAUGAACCAAUCAAUUUCCUUAUGUUUAUGGUUAUGCGCUUAUGCAAAAGUGUGCUCCCCGCUUUACGCGUACCAAGCGACUCGUUGCUAACGCGCGAGCGAGGAGUGGGGGACAAAAGGCGUGAGCCACAGAAUCGGACCAAAAUGUGCAAGUAAAUCCCAGUACUGCGCUACAUGAUAACGUGUCUUCAAAUAACGAGGCGACAUCCUUGACGGAGAACGCAAUUUCCGCGUCCUCGUGAUCCUGAUGAGUCCUAUAUCGAUGCCACGAAAUUAAUGAAGUUGCCGCCAUUCUGGUGUGAAAAUCCCGCGCUUUGGUUUGCCUAACUUGUAAGACAGCACAAGGACAUCCUUGAAAAAUCCAAAGGAAAUUCAGGACGGACAUUACGGAUGUCCUGUGGAUAUUCAAUUUUUAUCCCGGAAUAUACUCAGGAUGUCCUGAGGAAGGGCAAAUGAGUGCCGAAUACUAGUUCUUAAGACAUCCAGAGAAUAUCCUGUCAGACAACCUCAGGAUGUCUUGAGGAUUUCUCUAGGAUGUUUAUGGACAUUUCUUAGUCUAAAGGGAAAGUUUCUAAAAGUAAAAUCAAGCAAUUAAUAUAUUCGAUUUACUAAUUUUGUUUCAGGAGAGAAUCGAGUACUCUCUUUUCUUUUGUAAUUAACAGUAAAAUUAGAAAGUACACUCGAUUCAAUAAAUUCAAAACAUUAUAUGUU